rnacentral:rRNA from 1 species
AUUGAACGCUGGCGGCAGGCCUAACACAUGCAAGUCGAGCGAGCGGCGGACGGGUGAGUAAUGUCUGGGAAACUGCCCGAUGGAGGAGGAUAACUACUGGAAACGGUAGAUAAUACCGCAUACCAUCGGAUGUGCCCAGAUGGGAUUAGCUAGUAAGUGGGGUAACGGCGAAACUAGGCGACGAUCCCUAGCUGCUAUGAGAUGAUGACCAGCCACACUGGAACUGAGACACGGUCCAGACGCCUACGGGAGGCAGCAGGGGGGAAUAUUGCACAAUGGGCGCAAGCCUGAUGCAGCCAUGACGCGUGUAUGAAGAAGGCCUUCGGGUUGUAAAGUACUUUCAACGAGGAUGCGUUACUCGCAGAAGAAGCACCGGCUAACUCCGUGCCAGCAGCCGCGGUAAUUC